rnacentral:rRNA from 1 species
AUGGCGACCGGCGGACGGGUGCGUAACGCGUAUGUAACUUGCCUAUAUCUGGAAGAUAACUCAAAGAAAUUUGCGCUAAUACUCCAUAGUAUGAUUUUAUCGCAUGAUAGAAUUAUUAAAGCUCCGGCGGAUAUAGAUAGGCAUGCGUCCUAUUAGUUAGUUGGUAAGGUAACGGCUUACCAAGACUACGAUAGGUAGGGGGCCUGAGAGGGUGAACCCCCACACUGGUACUGAGACACGGACCAGACUCCUACGGGAGGCAGCAGUGAGGAAUAUUGGUCAAUGGAGGCAACUCUGAACCAGCCAUCCCGCGUGAAGGAUUGAAGGCGCUCGACGUCGUAAACUUCUUUUAUAUAGGAAUAAACCUGAGUACGUGUACUCAGCUGAAGGUACUAUAUGAAUAAGCAUCGGCUAACUCCGUGCCAGCAGCCGCGGUAAUACGGAGGAUGCAAGCGUUAUCCGGAUUUAUUGGGUUUAAAGGGUCCGCAGGCGGAUCAAUAAGUCAGUGG